rnacentral:rRNA from 1 species
GACGAACGCUGGCGGCGUGCUUAACACAUGCAAGUCGAACGGAAAGGCCCUGCUUUUGUGGGGUGCUCGAGUGGCGAACGGGUGAGUAACACGUGAGUAUCCUGCCCUUGACUUUGGGAUAACUUCAGGAAACUGGGGCUAAUAUCGGAUAGGAGAUCCUGCUGCAUGGUGGGGGUUGGAAAGUUUCGGCUGUUGGGGAUGGACUGGCGGCUUAUCAGCUUGUUGGUGGGGUAGUUGCUUACCAAGGCUUUGACGGGUAGCCGGCCUGAGAGGGUGACCGGCCACAAUAGGACUGAGAGACGGCCCAGUCUCCUACGGGAGGCAGCAGUGGGGAAUAUUGCACAAUGAGCGGAAGCCUGAGACAGCAGCGCCGCGUGCGGGAUGACGGCCUUCGGGUUAUAAACAGCUUUCGCCUGUGACAAAGCGUGAGUGACGGUAAUGAAUAAAGAAGCACCGGCUAACUACGUG